GAACAAGAGAGGGUGGGAAAAUAAGAAAGGAAAAUAGAACAUUUUAGGGAAAGGGAAUAGUGUGUGCAAAGAUGAAGAAGUAUAAAAGAAAAUGUAGCUUAUUCCAGAAACUGCUAAAAGGAUCAAUAUGGUGUCGUGUCAUGAGAGAGCCACAAUUCUUCAAACAUAUUUAACUGCUGGAGAGAAUGGCUCAGAAUCCCAGGUAUCAGCUUCAGCACACGGAUAAAAUAUAAGAAAGAAUUUGAGGUUGAUGUCAGAAGCAUUUCCAACAGGGCUAAGGAAGUAUUUUUUUGGAAGGUCUCUUCUUGGCCCUUGACAGAAGAAGCAGAGUAACUUUUCUUAGGUGGCAUAAUUCUUCAAAAUGUGUUCAUUUUGAAGAACAGGGGUGAUGGAUGGUAAUACACAGGCAGGGAUCAACAGUCCCAGAACUGAAGGAAGAGUUGACAAAUGUAUCAAAGAUGCCUAAUCAAAAUGUGUCCACAUUCUGCUAAAUAAAUUCUGGUUGAGCAGAACUAACAAAAACCAAACAAAGAAAAAAACAGCGAAUCUGACAAAAGCAGGAUGAAGAAUAAAAGAGAAGAGAAGAAAUUAAAGAAAUAGGAAGCAGUUAUGAUGAUUAACAAGACUAACAACUAGUUCAAAGAAAAGAAAGCACUAAUAAAUUAGAAAAACAUCUGGAAAACUGGUCAAGUGAAAGACAAAGAAUGUAAAAGAAAAUAUUAUGAGGAACAUGGGGUCAAAUAAUAGAUAUCAUCUCUUUUACCCUACAAGUCCAAAGAGAACAUGAUGAUCAAUUUUAUGACUGUGUUUAGACAUAUUGGAUUAUUUAAAAUAAAAUUUA
rnacentral:lncRNA from 1 species